AGAAGCGCAUACGGUGGAUGCCUUGGCAGUCAGAGGCGAUGAAAGACGUGGUAGCCUGCGAAAAGCUUCGGGGAGUCGGCAAACAGACUGUGAUCCGGAGAUGUCUGAAUGGGGGAACCCAGCCAUCAUAAGAUGGUUAUCUUGUACUGAAUACAUAGGUGCAAGAGGCGAACCAGGGGAACUGAAACAUCUAAGUACCCUGAGGAAAAGAAAUCAACCGAGAUUCCCUUAGUAGUGGCGAGCGAACGGGGACCAGCCCUUAAGUUGUAUUGAGAUUAGCGGAACGUUCUGGAAAGGACGGCCAUAGUGGGUGAUAGCCCUGUACGCGAAAAUCCCUUUGCAAUGAAAUCGAGUAGGACGGGGCACGAGAAACCUUGUCUGAAUAUGGGGGGACCAUCCUCCAAGGCUAAAUACUACUGACUGACCGAUAGUGAACCAGUACCGUGAGGGAAAGGCGAAAAGAACCGCGGAGAGCGGAGUGAAAUAGAUCCUGAAACCGUAUGCGUACAAGCAGUGGGAGCCCACUUGUUGGGUGACUGCGUACCUUUUGUAUAAUGGGUCAGCGACUUAUUUUCAGUGGCGAGCUUAACCGAAUAGGGGAGGCGUAGCGAAAGCGAGUCUUAAUAGGGCGUCUAGUCGCUGGGAAUAGACCCGAAACCGGGCGAUCUAUCCAUGGGCAGGUUGAAGGUUGGGUAACACUAACUGGAGGACCGAACCGACUACCGUUGAAAAGUUAGCGGAUGACCUGUGGAUCGGAGUGAAAGGCUAAUCAAGCUCGGAGAUAGCUGGUUCUCCUCGAAAGCUAUUUAGGUAGCGCCUCAUGUAUCACUGUAGGGGGUAGAGCACUGUUUCGGCUAGGGGGUCAUCCCGACUUACCAAACCGAUGCAAACUCCGAAUACCUACAAGUGCCGAGCAUGGGAGACACACGGCGGGUGCUAACGUCCGUCGUGAAAAGGGAAACAACCCAGACCGUCAGCUAAGGUCCCAAAGUCAUGGUUAAGUGGGAAACGAUGUGGGAAGGCUUAGACAGCUAGGAGGUUGGCUUAGAAGCAGCCACCCUUUAAAGAAAGCGUAAUAGCUCACUAGUCGAGUCGGCCUGCGCGGAAGAUGUAACGGGGCUCAAACCAUGCACCGAAGCUACGGGUAUCAUCUUUUGAUGAUGCGGUAGAGGAGCGUUCUGUAAGCCUGUGAAGGUGAGUUGAGAAGCUUGCUGGAGGUAUCAGAAGUGCGAAUGCUGACAUGAGUAACGACAAUGGGUGUGAAAAACACCCACGCCGAAAGACCAAGGUUUCCUGCGCAACGUUAAUCGACGCAGGGUUAGUCGGUCCCUAAGGCGAGGCUGAAAAGCGUAGUCGAUGGAAAACAGGUUAAUAUUCCUGUACUUCUGGUUAUUGCGAUGGAGGGACGGAGAAGGCUAGGCCAGCCUGGCGUUGGUAGUCCAGGUUUAAGGUGGUAGGCUGAGAUCUUAGGUAAAUCCGGGAUCUUAAGGCCGAGAGCUGAUGACGAGUGUUCUUUUAGAACACGAAGUGGUUGAUGCCAUGCUUCCAAGAAAAGCUUCUAAGCUUCAGGUAACCAGGAACCGUACCCCAAACCGACACAGGUGGUUGGGUAGAGAAUACCAAGGCGCUUGAGAGAACUCGGGUGAAGGAACUAGGCAAAAUGGCACCGUAACUUCGGGAGAAGGUGCGCCGGUGGAGGUGAAGCAUUUACUGCGUAAGCCCCUGCCGGUCGAAGAUACCAGGCCGCUGCGACUGUUUAUUAAAAACACAGCACUCUGCAAACACGAAAGUGGACGUAUAGGGUGUGACGCCUGCCCGGUGCCGGAAGGUUAAUUGAUGGGGUUAGCGCAAGCGAAGCUCUUGAUCGAAGCCCCGGUAAACGGCGGCCGUAACUAUAACGGUCCUAAGGUAGCGAAAUUCCUUGUCGGGUAAGUUCCGACCUGCACGAAUGGCGUAACGAUGGCGGCGCUGUCUCCACCCGAGACUCAGUGAAAUUGAAAUCGCUGUGAAGAUGCAGUGUAUCCGCGGCUAGACGGAAAGACCCCGUGAACCUUUACUAUAGCUUUGCACUGGACUUUGAAUUUGCUUGUGUAGGAUAGGUGGGAGGCUUUGAAGCGUGGACGCCAGUCUGCGUGGAGCCAACCUUGAAAUACCACCCUGGCAACUUUGAGGUUCUAACUCAGGUCCGUUAUCCGGAUCGAGGACAGUGUAUGGUGGGUAGUUUGACUGGGGCGGUCUCCUCCUAAAGAGUAACGGAGGAGUACGAAGGUGCGCUCAGACCGGUCGGAAAUCGGUCGUAGAGUAUAAAGGCAAAAGCGCGCUUGACUGCGAGACAGACACGUCGAGCAGGUACGAAAGUAGGUCUUAGUGAUCCGGUGGUUCUGUAUGGAAGGGCCAUCGCUCAACGGAUAAAAGGUACUCCGGGGAUAACAGGCUGAUACCGCCCAAGAGUUCAUAUCGACGGCGGUGUUUGGCACCUCGAUGUCGGCUCAUCACAUCCUGGGGCUGAAGCCGGUCCCAAGGGUAUGGCUGUUCGCCAUUUAAAGUGGUACGCGAGCUGGGUUUAGAACGUCGUGAGACAGUUCGGUCCCUAUCUGCCGUGGACGUUUGAGAUUUGAGAGGGGCUGCUCCUAGUACGAGAGGACCGGAGUGGACGAACCUCUGGUGUUCCGGUUGUCACGCCAGUGGCAUUGCCGGGUAGCUAUGUUCGGAAAAGAUAACCGCUGAAAGCAUCUAAGCGGGAAACUUGCCUCAAGAUGAGAUCUCACUGGAACCUUGAGUUCCCUAAAGGGCCGUCGAAGACUACGACGUUGAUAGGUUGGGUGUGUAAGCGCUGUGAGGCGUUGAGCUAACCAAUACUAAUUGCCCGUGAGGCUUGACC
rnacentral:rRNA from 1 species